CACAUGCUUUGCAGAUGAGAGAUGAUGUUGGCACUGACCUUGGGACCCUUGAGUAAAGAAAACAG
rnacentral:misc_RNA from 1 species